rnacentral:rRNA from 1 species
GACGAACGCUGGCGGCGUGCUUAACACAUGCAAGUCGAACGGAAAGGCCCUGCUUUUGUGGGGUGCUCGAGUGGCGAACGGGUGAGUAACACGUGAGUAAACUGCCCUUGACUUUGGGAUAACUUCAGGAAACUGGGGCUAAUACCGGAUAGGAGCUCCUGCUGCAUGUGGGGGGUUGGAAAGUUUUGGCGGUUUGGGAUGGACUCGAGGCUUAUCAGCUGGUUGGGGGGGUUGUGGCUUACCAGGGCUUUGAGGGGUAGCCGGCCUGGGAGGGGGACCGGCCUCAUGGGGCCUGAGAGACGCCCCAGUCUCCUACGGGACGCAGCGGUGGGAAGUAUUGCGCAGUGGGGCGACGCCUGUUGCAGCGGCCCCGCGUUCGGAAUGACGGCCUUCGGGUGAUAAACCGCUUUGUCCUUUGCCGAACCGUGCUUGACGGUAAUGGAUCAGAAAGCCCCGGCUAACUACGUG